UGUUUUUUUCAUAUACCGUCACUAAACACAUUUAAAUCAUGUUGGAUUGAAAUGUGUCAUUUGUAUUUGAGUUGUGCAUAUUUAUAUCAGGUUACUGGAACAUGAUUUUGAUAUGUAAAACGUUACUAAUAGGCUACUCCUGACAAGCUGGUGGCAGUAGAGUGUUAUGAAUGCAACCAUGAAUGACAUUCACACGAGACCAUGCGAAGAAGACCAACAUCAACGGACAUUUUUGACUUUCGCGCCCUUGGCUGCUUGGUAGCAGGUCCACCACACACCCCCAUUCAAAAACAUUGUUGCACCAGCAGGAGAUUAUCAGCGACAUGCCCAUGGCCACCGACUUCAAGUCCUGCUGGCCAGAAAUGUUGGAUAUUGGAGAGAUCCAUGCAGAGUUAACUCGUUACCACUAUGCCACUGCAGUUAAAGUUUCUUUCCCAGCUGGACCUCCACUGCGAUGACCUG